UGGGGGUUCACUGUAAUUGUGGGGUGGGGAUGAAGGUCAUGAAUGUAGAGGAGACCCAGGUGUCUUCUGGAUGUUGGGGUCCCCGGGGAGGUGACCAGGGAUGGGGUACAGAGUUGUCCCAGGGGUCAAGGCAAGUGUCCGAGUCAUUUUUAUCAUCAGUUCCACAAUUAUUUAUUGAAAAUCUACCUGUGCCCAGAGCUCACCUGACCUCAUUGAGCCUUGAGCCUCGGUCCUGGAAAAGGAAGCUAACCCUUCAAAGUGUUUCUCAACAAGGCGCACACACUGUCGGCGUUGUGCGUGGGACGACCUGUUUGAUUCCUUUGCCUGGCAGGAUAUGUCCCCACCCUCCCAUGCUGGCGGUGUCCUCCAGUCAUGGUGAGACCCCAAACGGCCCCCAACACCCACCUUCAGUUGCAAAUAGCCGAUUCAGGGAGAUGCCGGAGGAGCAGGUGAGAAAACUGUGUGAAACCAGCGGUAGGUUGUACACCUUCCUUCAUGUCUCCCUUCCCCACACCUCUCCCUCCUUCCUCCAGCCCCACAAAUGCCAUCUCAAGCAUGGGACUUGGCUGCUGUCUGGUCCAGGCUGUCAGCUCUCCUCUCUUGCCCUCCCCUCCCUCCCCUGCCCUUCCCCACCAGGCCUCCAUCUGGAUGCAGCCACUGGCCUUGACGUUCUGCUGCUCUACCCAGCUGCCCCAGCACUGAGGCCGGAACCUGGGUCUCGUCUGGCUGCUGCAGCCUUGGCAGGAGGGAAGGAAAGAUAUUUCGCCCACCAUGCUCUUUGUGGCUUAAGCUCCCGAGCGGCUGCAUGCUGAGGACUCAGCUUUGCACCCCUGCACAGGCCAGGUGCGUGUCCACCACCCAGUAGUGUGGUUCAGAGCGAACGGAAGCUAUCAGCUGCUCAGAGAUGUCUGUACCGGGCGCCAAACGGAUUCAGACAGCAACCUGGAGCUCCCGCAGAGGAUGCUCCAGUUAGGCACGGGUCCCAGAAUGUGAGCCACACGGAGCAGAUGUGAAGGUAGCCUGUCAUCAGGAGUGAGGCCAGCCCUGCCGACUGCAGACCUGUGAACUACUUGGCCCUGAAUCCUCCUCUCAAGUCUCAAGGUUUGCUUCUGGGGGACCCAACCUAAGAAACCCACCUAUUGCCAGCCAACCACAAGCAAAGGCAAUAACUUGUCAAUUAUCUUUCAAACUCCAAGAAUCUGGAUGUAUGAGCCCUGGGGACACAGUGCUUGGAGCUUGGAGCCGUGAAUGAAGUGGCUGGGUCAGCAACCACUCUGCAGGGACCUUGGAGCCUCCUACCAGCACGGCCGCACUGCUUCCUCUCCGUGUAGACAUCGUUCAGCGGAGGGACCUCAUCCCACCGUGUCUUCCUUGACGAUUCACAGGGGAGCAGAAAUCUUGGUGGGAAAUAAAGAGCAGAGGUUCUACCACACCUGCCAUCAUCUCUGAUGCAGAGAUUUGACCUCCUCCAGACACUGGGGAAGCAGAGGCCUUCUUAAGCCAAGCAGCUUGCAAGCGAUGUGAAAUCUGAUAGCUACUUAGAAGAAAGAAAUUCCACACGGUGGAUGGGCAUAGCCCUGCACCAGGCCCAGGGAACCUGGAAGAACAACCGUGUCUCCACCAGCUCCCGGGGAGAAUGGGGCCAUCCAGUGGUAUUUUGGGAAAUGCUUUACAACUGGCUCUCUGGGGGGAAGAAAAAUAAACAAAAGCCUUACUCUGUAACAUUUGCCAAUUUUUGUGGUGUAAAUACUCCCAACGUGGCCAGUUUGAAGCUACCAACUUGUCCACUGGUUUGAAAAAUUCCUGAAACUUUUGCAGUGAACUCUUACAAGCUGGUAUGAGCUAGCUCUAGCACGUCCUUCAUUUCCUUUAUUUCGUUGUAUUUUUAAAAUUGGAUUUUUAUUUUAUUUAUUGGAAAGAAUUCUUACGAAAUUUUAUUUAAAUUUCAAACUUACAGAAAAAUGCCAAAAAUAGUAAAAUAGACCACUGUAUAUGCCCUUUACCUCCAUUCACCAAAUAUCAAUAUUUUGCCAGUGUUGCUUUAUUUCUCUUUCCAAACAUAUACAUUUGUUACUGUUUUUUUAUUGUUGACUGUUGUUGAUCGGUUGGAAUGUAAGUUGCAGGCACAGGACUCUUGUUCCUCUGCCACUUCCCCUGCUUGUGUUCCCUCUCUCGC